UACAGGUUUGCAACGAUCGAGCAGGACCUGUAAUUAGCGACUGCAUUACGUUACGUGAAAUAGAACAGGCCCAUACAGAAACCCACGGUUCCACGUUGAUCCUAAUUUACUUCUUUGGUUUGAGGUGUGACGGGAACUUACCGACCCAAACCUCCUACCCGUGGAACCAAUCCACGAGAGGCGACGCCGACGCGAUGGUGGCGGCCAAAAGGAGACGCUGCGCCGCCAGAGACGACGAACUCUGCCUCCACCUCUCUUUCCUCUCUCGGUCUCUCCUGGACUGGAUCUCGCCGCUGCCGCCUCUCCUCGCCCCAGCGGAGAUUAGAGACGACAGCACCGCGACGAAUCCUGCACUGUAGUCAAGAAUUCUCGAGACUGCACCCAACUAGCCAAGGUUGAAGGAGCGUUGUAUGAUCUUCUCGCUUAGUCGUUAGAGUAGCGUUGCAUACAAGGGUUGGUGAAAUCACAUUAAACUAACAGUACUCCAUGUGUGCGCGAUGGGUGAAGCUAGCAGGUUAAUUACUACUCCCAUGCAAUACUUUCAGA